rnacentral:lncRNA from 1 species
AGCCAAUUGGGAUCUUUGAGGCGAAUGCGAGGCUGAGGCCGGUUGCCUACCGGCCGCUUCUCGCCGAGGCAGUCCAGACUUUUCCCCCGGCGGUGCCCGCUCCAAGACAGCAUCUGUCAACGCUCCUCUUCUCCCCUCCUCCUCCUGCCGGGCCGGGCUCCGCCGGCUGCGGCCGAGAGGACGCGGGACCCGGCACGGUGAGCCCAUCAGCUGUCAGGCGAGCGGCGAAGCGGCUGGAGGGCGGCGAGAGACACACAAAGAACGCGGUGGGCGGCGGCGGCGAAAGGGGACGGCAACUCCUCCCCGCGCCCGCCGGUGCCACCGCCGGCCGUGCUUGUUCCGAGGCCGCGCAGACAAUGCGGCCGGGCUCGUCCCCGCGCGCCCCAGAGUGUGGAGCGCCCGCGCUCCCCCGACCCCAACUUGACCGUCUCCCGGCUCGCCCAGCCCCCUCCCGGGGUAGGGGCGCCCCCUCCCUCCGGUGGCCGGCGAAGGAAGUCGGUCCACGGCCGCAGAUCCCGGCAACUUGCGAGCCGGGAAAAGUUUGCGGCGCCUCCGCGGGGCGGCGCGACGCGGCCCGUACCUCGCGUCCGCGGUCAUCGCGGGUGACUUUCUCGACUCGUCGUCAGCCGGGGCCGCUGCGCGGCCGGCGGGGACUGCGGGGCGGGCCGGAGUCCGUCCGAGGGCUCCCGCACCUCGGGCUGCGGAUUUCAGGUACUCCACUGGGCAUUUUCUCUUCAUGGAGCUUAUAGCAACAAAAGUGUUUUACAAAACAUCAGACAUGUUGGCAUCAUCUCUUAGUUGGGCCCUGUGGCCAGGGAACCUUUCAUGAAACCACCUCUGCAGUCCUGGAGAGUUGCUGUAGAAGAAGGAAAAGAGAAGAAGACAACACAACACAGGAGGGGAUAAGUACCUCUGGACACAAUGGAAGUAGUAGUUGUUGAGCAGAGGGAAAGGGAUAGGAGAAGGAUGUGGACUGCAGUGCGGCAGUGCCAGGUAAUAACUUUGAUCAUGUACCUCCUUGGCUCAGGUGCUGUCUCUUCUACUCUCCUCCUUACUCGUACUACCUUAUUUAGCACUUAAUUAUAUACUUUCUUGACUCACUUUGAGACACACUGAUUAUGUGGUCUGCCUCAAAGACAGAAUCCUAGUUUUGGAUUUUAGCAUUACUGAUCUAUAGCCUUGCAGGGGCUUAAGGAUGGCAGCUGUCUCUCUCCCUUGGGAUCUAGCUUUUGCAAAUAUUGAAGGGAAGAGAUUUCUUUGAUCUUAUAGGAAUAGAUCCACAGUUCAUCUACAGAUUUGCUUUUAUAGAGAAGUGUGUGUCACCAAAACAAUGGAGAUACGGUCAGAGAGGCCCCUACCCCCAGAAUUUUAAUAUAAUUUUACUUUCUGGGGCAUUUAUUCUUGACAAAUACUUUCUCUCCUAUCAGCUCACUUGUUCGUCACAAAAACCCUAUAAGAUAUUAAUAUUAUUAAACAGACCCCUAUGAAGCACCUCAAGUCUUUCUCUCUUCCCACUUCCAUUCUUGCACACCUUUUGCUAGACUAGUCUCUGCGUUCAUCACAUCAGGUUUCUAAAAUAAAAGUCCCCUAAUAACUUUCUAUUUGUUCUCUCAUCAAAUUGAACCUUUUUUGCCUGGCUUAUAAGGUGGCCUUAAAACCCCAUUUUCCUCUAAACAUUGUCUCUGUAGUUCAGGAAUAUGGCAGGCUCAACACUAUGCUUGAGCCCAUAUUGCUUCCCUCAUUAGUGAUGCCUCCUCUCAAACCACCCAGAUUCUACUCAUUCUUCAAUUUCCAGCUUCUCCUUGGAGCCUUCCCAGAUCAUUAGCUUCUUAAAAAUCCCAGCUUUCUCUGAAUUCUGAUGGUAGCCCCCGUUAUUUGGACAAUUAUGUCCUGGUCUUAAAGUCCUAAUGGAAAAAAAAAGUACAUGAUGGACUUCAUGUAGAGAAGAAAGCACUGGACUGAGUUUUAAGACAGCUGCUAAGGAGCUGUGUGAGCCAAACCAGGUUACUUUACCUCUCUGGAUCUAUAUUUGCUGAUCUGUUAAGUGGAGAGGAUUGGGUCAGAUAAUCUUGGUGGUCUUUGCUUAUUCUGAGGUUCUUGGACAACUUGGCCUAAUUCACGUGGGAUGGGAUUGAAGAUCUUACUGAGUUAUUGGAUGGAAAUGUCAGUAAUGGGCACUUAGUGCCUUCAGGACUUGUUCUAUACUAUCCCAGAAAUUUCUGAUGCUAAACUUGGCAAUUUUUAAAUGUCAUAUUCCUUUUCUCCAAACUCUUUAACCACAAGAAUUCAGGGAAGGUUAAUGGGGGGUGACUCAGUUAUCUGGAUAAUACGUAUUGUGGACGAUAUAGCAUUAUCCUUGGGAAUGAUUUCAUAUUGUUGAAUAAAUAGGAUCAACUUCUUGAUAAACCUUAGUCCUAAGCAUUUCAUCUUCAUUGGAUAGUGUUACAUAGUAAUAUAUUUAUGUUUUCUUUUAAUCAUUUCAUAACUUGGAAAAUACUAACGUAGUCAAAACUCUAGGGUAGGUGAUACAUGGGUUUCUGUAGUAAUCUGGUUGGAGACAUGUUGUAAUUCUGUAUAUAUAUGUACAUUUAUCCCAUGCAUGUUAUGCCUAAACUAAGACGGAUACCCCUGAAUUAAGAGGUGCUGUUAUACAUUGACCAGGCUUAAGAAUAUCUCUUUAAAGUGUGUCGACAUUUAAUUGACCUUUGAAAGUUCAUUCUGUUAAUCAUACUCAAAGUGCUAAAGCUAUGGUUGACUGCUCUGGUGUUUUUAUAUUCAUUCGUGCUUUAGCAUAUAAAUUCUUCAGCAUAAUUGCUACUUAUUUAGCAAGAGUUUCCUUUAUUUGAAAAUGUGAGUUGUGCUUGUAUUUUUGUGUCUUUCUUUCUUUCUUUUUUUAAACUUUGCUUCAGGCUGGGUAGUGGUAGAGGUUUGAAUUAAAAUGUUUUCCUGUCAGUA